AGAGUCUUAUCCUGGCUCAGGAUGAACGCUAGCGACAGGCUUAACACAUGCAAGUCGAGGGGCAGCGGUGGUGAAGGCUUGCCUUUACCAGCCGGCGACCGGCGCACGGGUGAGUAACACGUAUGCAACCUGCCUGCCACAGCCGGAUAAUCGGGAGAAAUUCCGUCUAAUACGGCAUAAUGCACCUAUGGGACAUCCUGUUGGUGCCAAAGGUUGAUUCCGGUGGCGGAUGGGCAUGCGUCGCAUUAGUUAGUUGGCGGUGUAACGGACCACCAAGACGACGAUGCGUAGGGGUUCUGAGAGGAAGGUCCCCCACACUGGUACUGAGACACGGACCAGACUCCUACGGGAGGCAGCAGUGAGGAAUAUUGGUCAAUGGGCGGGAGCCUGAACCAGCCAAGUCGCGUGAGGGAUGACGGCCCUAUGGGUUGUAAACCUCUUUUGCCGGGGAGCAAAGUGCCGCACGUGUGCGGUUUGGAGAGUACCCGGAGAAAAAGCAUCGGCUAACUCCGUGCCAGCAGCCGCGGUAAUACGGAGGAUGCGAGCGUUAUCCGGAUUUAUUGGGUUUAAAGGGUGCGUAGGCGGACGCUUAAGUCAGCGGUAAAAUUGCGGGGCUCAACCUCGUCGAGCCGUUGAAACUGGGUGCCUUGAGUGGGCGAGAAGUACGCGGAAUGCGUGGUGUAGCGGUGAAAUGCAUAGAUAUCACGCAGAACUCCGAUUGCGAAGGCAGCGUACCGGCGCCCAACUGACGCUGAAGCACGAAGGCGUGGGUAUCGAACAGGAUUAGAUACCCUGGUAGUCCACGCAGUAAACGAUGAAUGCUAGUUGUCCGGGGCGAUUGAGUUCUGGGUGACACAGCGAAAGCGUUAAGCAUUCCACCUGGGGAGUACGCCGGCAACGGUGAAACUCAAAGGAAUUGACGGGGGCCCGCACAAGCGGAGGAACAUGUGGUUUAAUUCGAUGAUACGCGAGGAACCUUACCCGGGCUCAAACGCAGGAGGGAUGUUUUUGAAAGGAGGCAGCCAGCAAUGGUCUCCUGCGAGGUGCUGCAUGGUUGUCGUCAGCUCGUGCCGUGAGGUGUCGGCUUAAGUGCCAUAACGAGCGCAACCCCUACCUACAGUUGCCAUCGCGUGAUGGCGGGCACUCUGUGGGGACUGCCUGCGCAAGCAGUGAGGAAGGCGGGGAUGACGUCAAAUCAGCACGGCCCUUACGUCCGGGGCGACACACGUGUUACAAUGGCAGGUACAGCGGGAAGCCACCCGGCGACGGGGCGCGGAACCCGAAAACCUGUCUCAGUUCGGAUUGGAGUCUGCAACCCGACUCCAUGAAGCUGGAUUCGCUAGUAAUCGCGCAUCAGCCACGGCGCGGUGAAUACGUAGCCGGGCCUUGCACUCACCGCCCGUCAAG
rnacentral:rRNA from 1 species